CCGACUGCUAUCCGGGUGAGACUAAGCCAUGCAAGUCGAAUGGAGUGGCGUCACUCCAUGGCGAACUGCUCAGUAACAAGUGAUCAACUUACCCUGCAGAGGUGGAUACCCUCGGGAAACUGAGGCUAAUCCGCCAUAGUUGGAGAGGCCUGGAACGGUGCUCCAUCCAAAGGUGCGGUGAAAUGCAACCGUGCCGCUGCAGGAUAGGAUCGCUCUCGAUUAUGGUAGUUGGUGAGGUAAUGGCUCACCAAGCCUAUGAUCGAUAAGGGCCGUGGGAGCGGGAGCCCUGAGAUGGAUACUGAGACAAUGAUCCAGGCCUUACGAGGCGCAGCAGGCGCGAAACCUUUACAAUGCACGGCAGUGUGAUAAGGUUACCCGGAGUGCUAACUACAUAUAGUUGGCUGUUAUAGGUGUGUACAUAACCCUAUGAGAAAGGAGAGGGCAAGGCUGGUGCCAGCCGCCGCGGUAAAACCAGCUCUUCAAGUGGUCGGGAAUAUUAUU
rnacentral:rRNA from 1 species